CUGCUCCUCCGGAGACUAGACUCCCUUCCUGGUUGUGCAGAUGGCUGUUGUGAUCUGCUAAUGCCACCUACCUACCAGCAACCGUGAGAAGUACCAGAGCAUAGAAGAAUGCCAAGCGCGGUGUGAAGAAAAGUCAGGUGACUCCUGUGAAAGGGUCAUUUGACCCCUGAAGUGGUCAUGAACCACAGGUUGAGAACUGCUGCUCUAAAGUCUUCUAUGCCUCAUUCCAGCCAGAAGUGGCCAGGUCAACUAGAUGCCCAUCUCCUGAAAGAUUUGAGGGCCUUAGUUCUUAAAGUGGGAUUGCUGGUUAAGCAGUCAGAUAUUAACAGGCCUGAAGGUCACCUAGGAUGGACCUUUCUCUCCUUAUCAGCAUUUGUAAAACCAGGAAUUAAAAGUGCAAGACUGAUUACUGGCCAAAAGUAAAGGAUCCUAAGCAUUGCAGAGAUGGUUCAGCACUUAAAGAGAGCAUACCGCUCUUGCAGAGGCUACGAGCUCAGUUCCCAGUACCCACAUCUGUUGGCUCUCAACUGCCUGGAUCUCCAACUUCAAGGGAAUUUGACAUCUCUGGCUUCUGCAGGCACCAGCAUUCACAUACAUACACACACGUGUACACACAUACACACACACAGAGUGAGAAACUAACAAUAAAAAUAUGUAGUUUGCUGGGUGCAUUGGUGCACACCUUUAAUCCCAGCACAGAGGCAGGUGGAUCUCUGUGAGUUCAAGGCCAGCCUGGUCUACAAAGCGAGUUCCAGGAAGGCUAGGGCUGUUUUUGGUUUUUUUUAUUUUUUAAUAUUUAUUUAUUAUGUAUACAAUAUUUUGUCUAUGUAUAUGCCUGAAGGCCAGAAGAGGGCACCAGACCCCAUUACAGAUGGUUGUGAGCCACCACGUGGUUGCUGGGAAUUGAACUCAGGACCUUUGGAAGAGCAGAUGAUGCUCUUAACCUCUGAGCCAUCUCUCCAGCCCUGACAGCUAGGGCUGUUACGCACUUACACAGAGAAACCUUAUUUCAAAAAACUUUUCUAUUUAUCUAUCUAUCACCUGUCUUUUUUUUUUAAAUGAUGGGAUCUGGGCGGCAGGUGAAAUGUCUCAGCACUUGUCUACUUGCCACCAAGGCAGGUGACCUGAGUUUAAUUCUAGGAACACCCAUAGUCAAAGGAGACACCAACUCCUUAAAGUUGUUAUCUGCCUUCCAUCUACAUGCCUACCCUUGCGCAUAUGUGCAGGCUGUGCACACAUAUAAAUAAAUACAUUUUUACAAAGAAUAGGAUCUGUGUACAAUAAAAGAACUUCUGGAGGCAUCACAAUCCCUGACUUCAAACUCUACUACAGAGCUAGAGUACUGGAAACAGCCUGGUAUUGGCUUAAGAACAGACAAGGGGACCAAUGGAACUGACUAGAAGAUCCGGGUAUCAAUCCACACAUAUUCGAACACCUGAUCUUUGAUAAAGAAGCAAAAAAUAUCAAAUGGAAAAAAGAAAGCAUAUUUAACAAGUGGUGCUGGUAUAACUGGAUUUCAACAUUUAGAAGAAUGAAAAAGAGUCAUAUCUAUCACCAUGCACAAAACUCAAGUCCAAAUGGAUCAAAGGCCUCAACAUAAAGCCAGCCACAAUAAACCUUAUAGAAGAGAAAGUGGGAAGUACACUUGAACACACUGGCACAGGGAACCACUUCCUAAAUAGAACCCCAGCAGCACAAACACUGAGAGAAUCAAUUAAUAAAUGGGACAUCCUGAAACUGAAAAGCUUCUGUAAAACAAAGGACACAGUCAACAAGACAAAACAACAACCUACAGAAUGGGAAAAGAUCUUCACUAACCCCACAUCAGACAGAGGCUAAUCUCCAAAAUAUACAAAGAACUCAAGAAAUUGGACACCAAAAGAUCACAUAAUCCAAUAAAAACAAAAUGGAAUACAGACCUAAACAGAGAACUCUCAACAGAGGAAUCUAAAAUGGCUGAAAGACAGUUAAGGAAAUGUUCAACAUCCUUAGUCAUCAGAGAAAUGCAAAUCAAAACAACUCUGAGAUUUCAUCUUACACCUGAAAGAAUGGCCAAGAUCAAAAACACUGAUGAUAACUUAUGCUGGAGAGGUUGUGGGGGAAAGGGAACACUUCUGCAUUGCUGGUGGGAGUGCAAGCUGGUACAACCCCUUUGGAUGUCAGUGUGGUGAUUUCUCAGAAAAUUAGGAAACAACCUUCCUCAAGACCCAGUAAUACCACUUUUGGGUAUAUAUCCAAAGGAUGCUCAAAUUGUGCCCCAAGGACCUGUGCUCAACUAUAUUCAUAGCAACAUUGUUUGUCAUAGCCAGAACCUGGAAACAACCUAAAUACCCCUUGAUUGAACAAUGGAUAAGGAAAAUGUACCACAUUUACACAAAGGAGAACUACACAGCAGAAAAACAAACAAAAAAAAAAUGACAUCUUGAAUUUUGCAGGAAAAUGGAUGGAGCUAGAAAACAUUAUUUUGAGUGAGGUAACCCAGACCCAGAAAGACAAUUAUCA